UCCCUGAAGGUCUGGUGGUUAAGACACUGCACUUCCAAAGCAGGGGGCAUGGGUUUGAUCCCUGGUUGGAGAA
rnacentral:tRNA from 1 species